UAGCCAGACUCCUACGGGAGGCAGCAGUGGGGAAUAUUGCACAAUGGGCGCAAGCCUGAUGCAGCCAUGCCGCGUGUAUGAAGAAGGCCUUCGGGUUGUAAAGUACUUUCAGCGGGGAGGAAGGGGUUAAGGUUAAUAACCUUAGCCAUUGACGUUACCCGCAGAAGAAGCACCGGCUAACUCCGUGCCAGCAGCCGCGGUAAUACGGAGGGUGCAAGCGUUAAUCGGAAUUACUGGGCGUAAAGCGCACGCAGGCGGUCUGUCAAGUCGGAUGUGAAAUCCCCGGGCUCAACCUGGGAACUGCAUUCGAAACUGGCAGGCUGGAGUCUUGUAGAGGGGGGUAGAAUUCCAGGUGUAGCGGUGAAAUGCGUAGAGAUCUGGAGGAAUACCGGUGGCGAAGGCGGCCCCCUGGACAAAGACUGACGCUCAGGUGCGAAAGCGUGGGGAGCAAACAGGAUUAGAUACCCGCGUAGG
rnacentral:rRNA from 1 species